rnacentral:rRNA from 1 species
UACGUAGGGUGCAAGCGUUAAUCGGAAUUACUGGGCGUAAAGCGUGCGCAGGCGGUUUUGUAAGUCUGUCGUGAAAUCCCCGGGCUUAACCUGGGAACUGCAUUGGUGACUGCAUCGCUCGAGUAUGGCAGAGGGGGUAGAAUUCCACGUGUAGCAGUGAAAUGCGUAGAGAUGUGGAGGAAUACCGAUGCGAAGGCAGCCCCUGGGCCAGCACUGACGCUCAUGCACGAAGCGUGGGAGCAAACAGG